rnacentral:rRNA from 1 species
UCGAACGAUGAAGCCAGCUUGCUGGUGGAUUAGUGGCGAACGGGUGAGUAACACGUGGGUGAUCUGCCCCAAACUUUGGGAUAAGCCUGGGAAACUGGGUCUAAUACCGAAUAUGACCGAUACUCGCAUGGGUGUUGGUGGAAAGCUCCGGCGGUUUGGGAUGGGCCCGCGGCCUAUCAGCUUGUUGGUGGGGUAAUGGCCUACCAAGGCGACGACGGGUAGCCGGCCUGAGAGGGCGACCGGCCACACUGGGACUGAGACACGGCCCAGACUCCUACGGGAGGCAGCAGUGGGGAAUAUUGCACAAUGGGCGCAAGCCUGAUGCAGCGACGCCGCGUGAGGGAUGACGGCCUUCGGGUUGUAAACCUCUUUCACCAGGGACGAAGCGAAAGUGACGGUACCUGGAGAAGAAGCACCGGCCAACUACGUGCCAGCAGCCGCGGUAAUACGUAGGGUGCGAGCGUUGUCCGGAAUUACUGGGCGUAAAGAGCUCGUAGGCGGUUUGUCGCGUCGUUCGUGAAAACUUGGGGCUUAACUCCAAGCGUGCGGGCGAUACGGGCAGACUUGAGUACUACAGGGGAGACUGGAAUUCCUGGUGUAGCGGUGAAAUGCGCAGAUAUCAGGAGGAACACCGGUGGCGAAGGCGGGUCUCUGGGUAGUAACUGACGCUGAGGAGCGAAAGCGUGGGUAGCGAACAGGAUUAGAUACCCUGGUAGUCCACGCCGUAAACGGUGGGUACUAGGUGUGGGUUCCUUUUCACGGGAUCCGUGCCGUAGCUAACGCAUUAAGUACCCCGCCUGGGGAGUACGGCCGCAAGGCUAAAACUCAAAGGAAUUGACGGG